AACGAACGCUGGCGGCAGGCCUAACACAUGCAAGUCGAACGAGAUCUUCGGAUCUAGUGGCGGACGGGUGAGUAACGCGUGGGAACGUGCCCUUCUCUACGGAAUAGGUCCUGGGAAACUGGGGUUUAAAUACCGUAUACGCCCUUCGGGGGAAAGAAUUUCGGGGAAGGAAUCGGUCCCGCGUUGGAUUAGGUAGUUGGUGGGGUAAUGGCCUACCAAGCCGACGAUCCAUAGACAGGUUUGAGAGGAUGAUCAGCCACACUGGGACUGAGACACGGCCCAGACUCCUACGGGAG
rnacentral:rRNA from 1 species